AGAGUUUGAUCCUGGCUCAGGAUGAACGCUAGCUACAGGCUUAACACAUGCAAGUCGAGGGGCAGCGGGAUUGAAGCUUGCUUCAAUUGCCGGCGACCGGCGCACGGGUGAGUAACGCGUAUCCAACCUUCCGUACACUCAGGGAUAGCCUUUCGAAAGAAAGAUUAAUACCUGAUGGUAUGAUGAGAUUGCAUGAUAGCAUCAUUAAAGAUUUAUCGGUGUACGAUGGGGAUGCGUUCCAUUAGGUAGUAGGCGGGGUAACGGCCCACCUAGCCAACGAUGGAUAGGGGUUCUGAGAGGAAGGUCCCCCACAUUGGAACUGAGACACGGUCCAAACUCCUACGGGAGGCAGCAGUGAGGAAUAUUGGUCAAUGGACGAGAGUCUGAACCAGCCAAGUAGCGUGAAGGAUGACUGCCCUAUGGGUUGUAAACUUCUUUUAUAAAGGAAUAAAGUCGGGUAUGUAUACCCGUUUGCAUGUACUUUAUGAAUAAGGAUCGGCUAACUCCGUGCCAGCAGCCGCGGUAAUACGGAGGAUCCGAGCGUUAUCCGGAUUUAUUGGGUUUAAAGGGAGCGUAGGCGGAUUGUUAAGUCAGUUGUGAAAGUUUGCGGCUCAACCGUAAAAUUGCAGUUGAUACUGGAUAUCUUGAGUGCAGUUGAGGCAGGCGGAAUUCGUGGUGUAGCGGUGAAAUGCUUAGAUAUCACGAAGAACUCCGAUUGCGAAGGCAGCACACUAAUCCGUAACUGACGUUCAUGCUCGAAAGUGUGGGUAUCAAACAGGAUUAGAUACCCUGGUAGUCCACACGGUAAACGAUGGAUACUCGCUGUUGGCGAUAUACUGUCAGCGGCUUAGCGAAAGCGUUAAGUAUCCCACCUGGGGAGUACGCCGGCAACGGUGAAACUCAAAGGAAUUGACGGGGGCCCGCACAAGCGGAGGAACAUGUGGUUUAA
rnacentral:rRNA from 1 species